rnacentral:rRNA from 1 species
UACGUAGGUGGCAAGCGUUAUCCGGAAUUAUUGGGCGUAAAGCGCGCGCAGGCGGUCUCUUAAGUCUGAUGUGAAAGCCCACGGCUCAACCGUGGAGGGUCAUUGGAAACUGGGAGACUUGAGUGCAGGAGAGAAAAGUGGAAUUCCACGUGUAGCGGUGAAAUGCGUAGAGAUGUGGAGGAACACCAGUGGCGAAGGCGGCUUUUUGGCCUGUAACUGACGCUGAGGCGCGAAAGCGUGGGGAGCAAACAGGAUUAGAAACCCCAGUAGUCC